UACGUAGGUGGCAAGCGUUGUCCGGAUUUAUUGGGUUUAAAGGGUGCGUAGGCGGCUUUGUAAGUCAGUGGUGAAAUAUGGCAGCUUAACUGUCAAGGUGCCAUUGAUACUGCAGAGCUUGAGUACAGAUGAGGUAGGCGGAAUUGACGGUGUAGCGGUGAAAUGCGUAGAGAUGUGGAGGAACACCAAUGGCGAAGGCAGCCUUCUGGGCCAACACUGACGCUCAUGCACGAAAGCGUGGGGAGCAAACAGG
rnacentral:rRNA from 1 species